ACUCAGCACUUCCUAUUAUUACAAAGGCCAAGCCCAGGAGGCUCUAUCAAGGCUGACGGCUGUAAAACCACACUGUUCUUCUGGCUCCUGGGACGUUCUCUGUCCGUACAAUAAAAGGUUGUUCCAGAAGGGAUGUGUGCAGCUCAUCCCAAUAUUUGAUGGUGCCAAUAUUAUGUGACCAACUUUACAAGGACAUUUGGUGUACAUCUCAGAAGCUGACAGUGAGGGUGGAGAGCAUACGCUCCCUAAACACACAGGAGGGGUAUGGUUGUGCUUGGGCAGAGGCACCAUGUCGGCAGGAGAAAGGUUAUUUACACGCAAUCCUCCAGGCUGACGCUAGUCACGCUGCAUG